AAGUAUAUCCCUAAUAUCCGCGUCCAGCAAGUUGAGACCUUGAGAAAGCUUGGCAGUCAAGCCGUGCACAGAACUGACUAAUUAAAUCUUUGUCUGAAUCUUAUUUAUAUAAAAGUACCUUGAAUUUUUAAGUUUAAUUAUAAAGCAAACUGCACACUUUGCGGACAUGUUCAUGAGAAUAUAAUUUUUUUGUGUAACGAAAUCUACAACACUUGUCAAUCAUAUUGCAUGUUGUGUCUAAAAAUACCAUGUGGGCGUCCCACGGUCUAGACGGGUUUUGUGUCAGGCCCUAUUUCAAAUUGAAGCCUGAACUUCAGGUUACCAAAGGAUUGAACUUGGCGCUUGGUCUUUGUGUGAACCAGAUCGAAUUACUACAACACGUGAUAUAUUCUAAGCAUGCUAAUUGGUUGAAACUCUGGAACUUCCACUUGUCGCAAAUUAUAUUCAGCAGAAUUCAGUAGCAGAACAUUCCACACGUUCAAAUUACAGAUUUAGGCCAGCAAAUAAAAAAUAUAGAUGAUUCGUCGACAAUUUCUGGCUACAUUCGAU